CGUGAUGCACUGGAUGUCCACGAUAAUCUUAGGAUCUUUCAGGAAUAAUUGGGAGACGUAUUUUAAUGAAGUUAGACCAUUGAAAGCAGAGAGAUUCAAGGCACUUCGCAUACAGUGGGCACAGUAUUAUCUAAAAGUUAGAAAUCAAACAUAGGAUGUUAGGCAACUAUGUAA